rnacentral:hammerhead_ribozyme from 1 species
AUCCAUCUGACGAUUCUCAAAUAGGACGAAACGCGCAUCCUGGAU